rnacentral:tRNA from 1 species
GGGCGUAUAGCUCAGUUGGUUAGAGCGCAGUCCUGAUAAGACUGAGGUCGAUGGUUCGAGCCCAUCUACGCCCACGA